rnacentral:rRNA from 1 species
GAUCAUGGCUCAGGAUGAACGCUAGCGACAGGCCUAACACAUGCAAGUCGAGGGGCAGCGAAGAGGUAGCAAUACCUCUGUCGGCGACCGGCGCACGGGUAAGUAACACGUAUGCAAUCCACCUGUAACAGGGGGAUAACCCGGAGAAAUCCGGACUAAUACCCCAUAAUAUGGGCGCUCCGCAUGGAGAGUCCAUUAAAGAGAGCAAUUUUGGUUACAGACGAGCAUGNGCU